rnacentral:lncRNA from 1 species
AAGUUGAGACAAAUGGAGGAAUGUUUGUACUGGGCCCAGGAAGUUGAGACAAAUGGAGGAAUGUUUGUACUGGGCCCAGGAAGUUGAGACAAAUGGAGGAAUGUGUUUGUACUGGGCCCAGGACUGAGAUAUAUGUUUGAUUUCUUACAGUGGAGGUUGCAGUGAGCUGAGAUCCUGACAUUGCACUCCAGCGUGGGCACAGAGUGAAACUCCGUCUUGAAAAAACAAAACAAAACUGGAGUUUUGGAAGACGGAACAUCUAAGAUGAUCACAUGUCCUACAAAAGAAACAUCUACAAAACAGUUUCGCCACCAUUGACAGAUUCUCACUAUAAACAGCAUAAUGGAGAGCCGUGUUGCCAUACACAUCUACAAUAUUCGCAUUGGGACCAGAAUCUACCAGAAUAUUUGCACAAGCCUCUCUCCAGCAUUGUAGAGCCUGUCAGUAUUAAAGCAAGAAGUAAAUUAUAAAUUUUAGGAAAUCAAAAUAAAUAUUCCACAGGUUUCACAAACUAGUUGUAUUUCAAUGAGAUAAAUUCAGAGGUGUCCUGUUUUCACUGUCGUGGAUGUCAAGCUGACAAUUUCUGUCUGCCAGAAGUGUUACUAAUUCCGCGUGGCCGUUGGCACAGGCCCAGUGUAGAGUAGUCCUACGAGAGUGAGAGGACGUUUUAGGAAAGUUCAGUUCACUGUCUCAAAACAUACAAUGAUUUAUGUAAUUGUAAACAUUAAAUACCAUGCUCUUUAUCUGCCUUCAAAACAAAUAUUUAAUAAUCUCCUGAAGAAAGUACAAUAUUCAUUUGCUUUUAUUACUCACGACAUUAAUGAAAGAGUGGCCUAUUUGAAUAGAAAGAGCUUGGCCUUUGGAUUCAGUUCAACUUGGACUUGAAUAUUACUUUAAGAUCUUUCACUUACUAGCUAUCACUUAACCUCUCUGUGCCUCAAUUUUCUCAUCAAUAAAGUGAAGAUGAAUACAGCAGUUAUCUCACAGAACAUCACUGUGAUGCCUCAAUGAGAAUCUAUGCAAAGUAUUUUGAAGAGUUUUUAGCAAAUGUAACAGCUCAGUAAUUGUUAGAUAUUAUAAUUAUUACUUCUACUUAACAAAGACAACAUUUUAAGUAAUAUAAUACAAUUAUGCCUACUUUGUGGUGUGUUUUAAAGGUUAGAGAUAACACUGUAUUUUAACGGUUCUAGGAUGCUCAAUUUCUCAUAUUUUAACAUCUCUGGCAUUGAAAUGCCACUUACAAUUCAUUAUUUAUUAGAACUGUAUUUGGCAAAAAUUUAAACAAUCUUUUAUUGGUACAUAAAAUAAGGAGGCAUCACACAAUUCACGGUGCCUUCCAUGAAGUGGAAUAUGGUACAUACAACAGGUCGAUGGCAGUCCUAGUCACAGGAUUAACACUGAAAGAAAUUUUAGCUUUUAAGAGUGCUACGCAAAAGGGGAGUUGAAAUAAAAACAAAAAAUUGUUGGCCGGGUGCGGUGGCUCACACCUGUAAUCCCAGCACUUUGGGAGGCCGAGACGGGUGGAUCGCGAGGUCAGGAGAUCGAGACCAUCCUGGCUAACACGGUGAAACCCC